CCUCAGGCCGAGCACGCGCCUGCGCAUUAACCGCCCCCGCCUCCUUUUCCCGCCGCCCGAGGGGGCGUGGGCAGGGCAGGGCGCAUGCGCAGUGAACGUGGCGCUGGUUGCAAGAGAUGGGGCUUGACGCCCCUAGUUUCCGCUGGUUUCCCGGGGGGUCCCUCGAGCUGGGAGAGCGAGCCCGUCGAUCGAAGCCUUCCUCUAGGUAAAUCCUGGGUCUGCGGGGCGCCUUCCACACGCGCAGGCCCGAAGUUGAGGGGGAGGCCCGCGGGGACUGGGGGACGGCGGGUCGCUCCGGGCCUCAGUUUCCCCUUCGGAGCGGCCAGCACGUCGGGCAAACGCUUUCCCGAGGCCGUGUGGGGAGGUGAGGGGGAAGCAGAGGUCAGAGGUUGAAGAUCACUGGCCAAGGGGGGCGUUCAGUGGGGCAGGGGAUCCCCAGCACAAGCCACCGGAAUGGGAACUCCAGGAGGCCAGACCCCGACGCCUGGAACCAGCAGCGCCUGGAACCGAGCAACGCCUGGAAUCGGGCCAGACCACCCUUCUCUCCCACCUGGAAGACUGGACGGCCCCCUCUCCCUCUGCUUCUGCUCUCCUGCCUCUUCUUCUCAGGGAGCUCCAGGCUGUUCCACCCACAGCAGCAUGCAGAGCAAUCUUUUAGAAACAGAAGUGAGAUCCAGGGCACAGCUUUGCUCAGUGCUUCCAAACGGCUUUCCGCUGAACUUGGAAUAAAUUCUGAACUUCCCAGUCAGGCUGGCGAAGCCCCCGAUGCUUUGCUCCCGUCUCCCCCUUGCUCGUUGCAGUUCGGCCACGUGGGUCUUUCUGGGUCUUUCCAGACUCCUUCCAGCCUCAGGAUCUUUGCACUUGCUGAUCCCUCUGCUUGGGCCUCUGUGUCCCAUGUCUUACCUAGAUUUGAGUCCCAGCUCCACUCCUCCAGGAUGAUCUAGACAAGGAGGACCUCUAGCCCAUGGGCCACAUGUGACUUGCGAGCUAAGAAUUUACAUGUUUAGUUGGUUGGGAAAAAAAGAAGCGUAUCUCAUCCUGUGAAAAUUGUAUGAAGUUUGAAUGUCGGUGUCCAUCAAUAAAGUUUUCAUUGCAAACAGCCACA